CAACUUUUAUUCUGCCUUAUCACUUGAUAUAGAUGAGCCUUACGACAUAAAAGACACGGCACAAGUUGACCUUCUUGUCAGAUAUAUGUCUUCCCAAGAUCCAAACGAAGAACUUCUUGGAUUGCUACCACCCUCAUGACAAACUAGAGAAGAAGAUACUGCUAAUUUCGUGCAAAAAUUCCUUGAAGACAAUAUAAUCAAUAUGAAUAAAAUCUUUUCAAUAGCAACUGAUGGAUCUAGAAGUAUAAAGUGAAAAAAUAAAGGGGCAACUACGAU